rnacentral:rRNA from 1 species
AUAUCACUCAGCGGAGGAAAAGAAACCAACAGGAAUUGCCUUAGUAACGGCGAGUGAAGCGGCAAGAGCUCAAAUUUGAAAUCUGGCGUAUGCCCGAGUUGUAACUUGUAGAGGGAAGUUCGGUUGAUGUGCUGGUUAGAGUUUCCAGGAACGGAACACCAUAGAGGGUGAGAGUCCCGUUUAGCCAGCAAAUGACGCCAUGUGUACUUUCCUUCAAAGAGUCGAGUUGUUUGGGAAUGCAGCUCAAAAUGGGUGGUAAAUUCCAUCUAAAGCUAAAUAUCAGACGGAGACCGAUAGCGCACAAAUA